rnacentral:rRNA from 1 species
CUUUACCUACGGGGGGCAGCAGUCGGGAAUAUUGCGCAAUGGAGGAAACUCUGACGCAGUGACGCCGCGUGCAGGAAGAAGGUUUUCGGAUUGUAAACUGCUUUAGACAGGGAAGAAAAAAGACAGUACCUGUAGAAUAAGCUCCGGCUAACUACGUGCCAGCAGCCGCGGUAAUACGUAGGUGGCAAGCGUUGUUCGGAAUAACUGGGCGUAAAGGAUGCGUAGGCGGUUAAACAAGUUAUAUGUUAAAUAUAUAGGCUUAACCUGUAGAAAGCAUAUAAAACUGUUUAACUAGAGUGCAGGAG